rnacentral:rRNA from 1 species
ACAAGUACCGUGAGGGAAAGGUGAAAAGAACCCCGGGAGGGGAGUGAAAUAGAACCUGAAACCGUAUGCUUACAAAAAGUUCGAGCACAUUAAUGUGUGAGAGCGUGCCUUUUGCAGAAUGAACCGGCGAGUUAUUGUAUUAUGCAAGGUUAAGUCGAACAGAUGGAGCCGAAGCGAAAGCGAGUCUGAAUAGGGCGCUUAAGUAUGAUGCAAUAGACCCGAAACCGAGUGAUCUAGCCAUGAGCAGGUUGAAGUUGGGGUAAGACCCAAUGGAGGACCGAACCGAUAUGCCCGGAAACGCGUACGGAUGACUUGUGGUUAGCGGAGAAAUUCCAAUCGAACUCGGAGAUAGCUGGUUCUCCCCGAAAUAGGUUUAGGCCUAGCCUUGAUUGAAUCUGCCUGGAGGUAGAGCACUGAAUGUGCGAUGGCGUCGUCUAGAUGUACUGAGUACAAUCAAACUCCGAAUGCUGGGUAGUACUAAUCAGGAGUCACUGUAUGGGUGAUAACGUCCAUACGGGAGAGGAAAAGAAUCCGGAUCGCCAGCUAAGGUCCCAAAAUUUGUGUUAAGUGGGAAAGGAUGUAGAGUUGUCAAAACAGCUAGGAGGUUGGCUUAGAAGCAGCCACCCUUUAAAGAGUGCGUAAUAGCUCACUAGUCGAGUGACACUGCGCCGAAGAUGUACCGGGGCUAAACACAAUACCGAAGCUGCGGACUUGCAUGUAAGUGCAAGUGGUAGGGGAGCGUUCUAAGUGCUGAGAAGGUAGACCGUAAGGACUGCUGGAGCGCUUAGAAGUGAGAAUGCCGGUGUGAGUAACGAAAAUUGGGUGAGAAUCCCAUUCACCGUUUGACUAAGGGUUCCUGGGUAAAGUUCGUCUUCCCAGGGUAAGUCAGGACCUAAGAUGAGGCUGAAAAGCGUAGUCGAUGGACAACAGGUUGAUAUUCCUGUACCACCUAUAUGACUGAAGGAGUGACGGAGAAAGCUAGUGAGAGCCAGUUAAUGGAUUCUGGUCUAAGUGCGUAGGCUAGUAUGUUGGCAAAUCCGCAAUACUAUAACAGCUGAAACAUGAUGGGGAAGAGAGUCUUCGGACAAUCGAACUUUCAUGAUGCUAUGCUUCCAAGAAAAGCUUCUAGGGUUAAUCGUAUAGGUGCCUGUACCGACAACCGACACAGGUGGUCAAGGAGAGUAUCCUAAGGUGAGCGAGAGAACUAUGGUUAAGGAACUCGGCAAAAUGACCCCGUAACUUCGGGAGAAGGGGUGGUCUAGCGAUAGACCCGCAGUGAAUAGGCCCAGGCAACUGUUUACCAAAAACACAGGUCUCUGCUAACACGUAAGUGGAUGUAUAGGGGCUGACGCCUGCCCAGUGCUGGAAGGUUAAAGAGAUUAGUUAGUAUGACGUAAGUCGAUAAUACGAAGCUUUGAACUGAAGCCCCAGUGAACGGCGGCCGUAACUAUAACGGUCCUAAGGUAGCGAAAUUCCUUGUCAGGUAAGUUCUGACCCGCACGAAAGGCGUAAUGAUCUGGGUACUGUCUCAACCAUAGACUCGGUGAAAUCUUAAUACCUGUGAAAAUGCAGGUUACCCGCAACUAGACGGAAAGACCCCAUGGAGCUUUACUGCAGCCUGAUAUUGAAUUCUGGUCAUACAUGUACAGGAUAGGUGGGAGACAAAGAGACGUGCACGCCAGUGUACGAGGAGUCGACGUUGGGAUACCACUCUUGUGUGACCGGGGUUCUAACCUGGUAUCGAGAACAGGUACGGGGAGAGUGUCAGGUGGGCAGUUUGACUGGGGCGGUCGCCUCCCAAAGAGUAACGGAGGCGCCCAAAGGUACGCUCAGAUUGGAUGGAAACCAAUCGUCGAGUGCAAUUGCAGAAGCGUGCUUGACUGUGAGACAGACAAGUCGAACAGGGACGAAAGUCGGGAAUAGUGAUCCGGCGGUGCCGAAUGGAAGGGCCGUCGCUCAACGGAUAAAAGCUACCCUGGGGAUAACAGGCUGAUCUCGCCCAAGAGUUCACAUCGACGGCGAGGUUUGGCACCUCGAUGUCGGCUCAUCGCAUCCUGGAGCUGGAUUCGGUUCCAAGGGUUGGGCUGUUCGCCCAUUAAAGCGGUACGCGAGCUGGGUUCAGAACGU